rnacentral:lncRNA from 1 species
AUGAACUCCGAGCACGCAGUAGGAGCUUUAAAGUUGGGACAGAAGGGUUGGGGCAGAUUUCUUUCUCAGUCAGUAAACAUUUACUACUCUCCUACUAUGUACCAGGCAUUGUGUAAGUGUUUCCCCGCGGCUCUCUGUACAAUGUAUCGCUUUGAGUGUCUUCGUGACAUGUGCCGCGAGCCCGGAGGCGCCGCCUCCUCCCCCUCCUCCUCGCCCUCUCGGCGCCCCUGGCUGCCAGCCACGCCGCGCCUCGCCACGCCACGCGGAACCAGCCUUGACCACGCGGUGACCGGUCCCCGCGGGGCGGGGCUCGGGUGUCCUGCAGGUGGCGCAGCUGAGCGGGCCCGAGAGCAGGCAGAUAAAGUCGGGGGGGGGGGGGCAGCGCGGGGCCGGGACCACUAUGGGGCUGGCGGCUGCUGGCGGAGGCGGAGGCGUUGGGGAGCUGGAGCUGGAGCUGGAGCUGGCGCUGGGGCUGGGGCUGGAGCUGGAGCUGGGGCUGGAGCUGGAGCUGGGGCUGGGGCAGGCACUCCAGGAAGACAAAGGCUGCGGGGCGGCGGCGGCAACAGCGGCGGCGCGGGGCAGGGCGCGGCGCUGAGGCCGCCCGCCGGGGGCGCAGCGCGCUCGGAACCCCGGCCCAAAGUUGGAGCGACGCGGCGCCGGGGAGCGCACGGGAGCCUGGCCGGCGGCAGCUCCGGACAGCACAGGCGGAGCCCGCGCACGGGCAGCGGAAGCCAGACGGUGAGCCAGCCUACCAGGGCGCCGUUGGCGUUCCCCAAAGUUUGCGCCUUCGUGCCUCGGGCAGGGGCGCGGGGGCCAGCCACCGUCUGGAGGAGAGCAGAGGUCGGGGGGCGUGAGGCACUGCCCUCCCCGGGGACCAGCCUGGCUCUUCUCAACCCAGCCCGGCAUGGAUGCAGAGGGGGGGCUCAGCCCCCUCGGGCAGGCCCUUGCUGGGAGCUGGGGAGCAGGGAGAGGCUUGGGGAGACCGAGGUGGGAGAGGCACCCCCUCCCAUCUUCCUUUGCCAGCUUCGGGGUGAAGAUGAGGGAGAAGAUGGGGGGGCAGACAGAGAAAGGGUUCCCAGCCCCAGGAUUGGAGGUAAAGGAGGUGAGGGACGGUCCCCAGCUAGAGGACUGGAGAUGAAGAAGAUGGGAGGUCUGCAGAAGAGUUAG